GGGCGUUAAGUUGCAGGGUAUAGACCCGAAACCCGGUGAUCUAGCCAUGGGCAGGUUGAAGGUUGGGUAACACUAACUGGAGGACCGAACCGACUAAUGUUGAAAAAUUAGCGGAUGACCUGUGGCUGGGGGUGAAAGGCCAAUCAAACCGGGAGAUAGCUGGUUCUCCCCGAAAGCUAUUUAGGUAGCGCCUCGUGAAUUCAUCUCCGGGGGUAGAGCACUGUUUCGGCUAGGGGGCCAUCCCGGCUUACCAACCCGAUGCAAACUGCGAAUACCGGAGAAUGUUAUCACGGGAGACACACGGCGGGUGCUAACGUCCGUCGUGAAGAGGGAAACAACCCAGACCGCCAGCUAAGGUCCCAAAGUCAUGGUUAAGUGGGAAACGAUGUGGGAAGGCCCAGACAGCCAGGAUGUUGGCUUAGAAGCAGCCAUCAUUUAAAGAAAGCGUAAUAGCUCACUGGUCGAGUCGGCCUGCGCGGAAGAUGUAACGGGGCUAAACCAUGCACCGAAGCUGCGGCAGCGACACUGUGUGUUGUUGGGUA
rnacentral:rRNA from 1 species